UUGAUUAAUUCGUGAUUAACACUCAGACUUCACUAGAUUCAUAGGUUGUUUGUAGGUCCACCGGCGGGCGCUGGCCAGAAGGGGUCUCCCCCUCCCGGCGGCCGUUAGACGGCGGUCCCGCCGAGGCAACAGGUUUGGUGUACAAGUGUGGGGCCGGUUGCAGGGCGCGGCUCGCCUCCGUUUAGGAAGACGAGACCGACGUCCCGCGGGCACUGUAAUGAUCCUUCCGCAGGUUCACCUACGGAAA
rnacentral:misc_RNA from 1 species